CCGUUGCCGGCGACCGGCGCACGGGUGAGUAACACGUAUGCAACCUGCCCGUGGCAGGGGGAUAAGCGGGGGAAACCCCGUCUAAUACCGCGUAACGCGGCCUAGGGACAUCCCAAGGCCGCCAAAGGGAGCAAUCCCGGCCACGGAUGGGCAUGCGGCGCAUUAGCUAGUCGGCGGGGUAACGGCCCACCGAGGCGACGAUGCGUAGGGGUUCUGAGAGGAAGGUCCCCCACAUUGGAACUGAGACACGGUCCAAACUCCUACGGGAGGCAGCAG
rnacentral:rRNA from 1 species